rnacentral:rRNA from 1 species
UAACGAAUCUUCCGCAAUGCACGAAAGUGUGACGGAGCGACGCCGCGUGUGGGGACGAAGUCCUUCGGGAUGUAAACCACUGUCAGGGGUUAGGAAAGUUCUGAUCAACCCCACGAGGAAGGCACGGCUAACUCUGUGCCAGCAGCCGCGGUAAGACAGAGGUGCCAAGCGUUAGGCGGAAUCACUGGGCUUAAAGCGUGUGUAGGUGGAUGCCUAAGUACCUUGUGAAAUCCCACGGCUCAACCGUGGAACUGCUUGGUAUACUGGGUGUCUUGAGCCAACUAGGGGGCAGCCGGAACUAACGGUGGAGCGGUGAAAUGCGUAGAUAUCGUUAGGAACGCCAACGGUGAAAACAGGCUGCUGGGGGUUGUGCUGACACUGAGACACGAAAGCCAGGGGAGCAAACGGGAUUAGAUACCCCGGUAGUCCUGGCCGUAAACGAUGUCCACUAGAUCGUGGCAGCUCUGACGUUGUCAUGGUCGAAGCAAAAGUGCUAA